rnacentral:rRNA from 1 species
AAUAGAUACCCAGGUAGUCCACGCCCUAAACGAUGUCAACUAGCUGUUGGGGCCUUCGGGCCUUGGUAGCGCAGCUAACGCGUGAAGUUGACCGCCUGGGGAGUACGGUCGCAAGAUUAAAACUCAAAGGAAUUGACGGGGACCCGCACAAGCGGUGGAUGAUGUGGAUUAAUUCGAUGCAACGCGAAAAACCUUACCUACCCUUGACAUGUCUGGAAUCCCGAAGAGAUUUGGGAGUGCUCGCAAGAGAACCGGAACACAGGUGCUGCAUGGCUGUCGUCAGCUCGUGUCGUGAGAUGUUGGGUUAAGUCCCGCAACGAGCGCAACCCUUGUCAUUAGUUGCUACGAAAGGGCACUCUAAUGAGACUGCCGGUGACAAACCGGAGGAAGGUGGGGAUGACGUCAAGUCCUCAUGGCCCUUAUGGGUAGGGCUUCACACGUCAUACAAUGGUCGGGACAGAGGGUCGCCAACCCGGCGAGGGGGANCCGAAUCCCAGAAACCCGAUCGUAGUCCGGAUCGCAGUCUGCAA